AUUUAUAUAGUUUAAUAAAAACCUUACAUUUUCAUUGUAAAAAUAAAAAUAUUUUUUUUAUAAAUA
rnacentral:tRNA from 1 species